GAGGAGUUUGUUUGCACCAACCAAGAGAAUAAAGGAUGUUGCACGAGGCCCGAGGAUGAAGGAACAGGGACAUGCGCGGAUAUGGAUCAGACCUGCGAGUGGAAAUGUUCGGAUUUUCCGGUCACGACUCCGGGUCCUUCACCAAUCUCCGAGAAGUUCUGUAUAGGAAAAGGAACAGAUAUGUUUAUGAACGGUUUCCAGGUGACCGGUAGCGAGAACCAACUAUGUGUUAUUUUGUUCUUCGAGGCGUGGGUCCUGGACAGCCAGCUCAAGUUCUUCUUCGGGUGUAUCGGGGUCAUUCUACUUGGAAUUGGAGUUGAAGGAUUGCUGUGUGUCCGUAGACUACUCCAGAGUAGGAAGAUUCUACGGUUUAUCUCCAGUCCUGUCCGUAGAGGUUCCAUAAUUGUUCUCUUUGGAUUAAACAUUGCAUUUGGCUACAUGGCUAUGCUGGUUGCUAUGACGUAUUCUGUUGAAUUGUUCCUGUGUAUGGUUUUAGGAUUGGUGCUUGGUCAUGCUAUCUUCAACACUGCCGCCCCGGUUGGCGAGAGUGUUGAUCCCUGCUGUGCAUCCCAGGUUAUUGGAGCAUCAAAUGAUACAGCCUCUGAUUCUUCGAACAUGCCGAAAAAGUCAAAGAAUUGCCACCUGGACAGGGGUGUUGAAAAUUCUUGUUUUUGCGAAGAAGGUAAGCAUGUGAGCAGUGUCCCAGUAUCCCUAGCUAAGUAAGCACGUGCGGAGUGUCCCAGUAUCCCUAGCUAGGUAAGCAUGUGAGCAGUGUCCCAGUAUCCCUAGCUAGGUAAGCAUGUGAGCAGUGUCCCAGUAUCCCUAGCUAAGUAAGCAUGUGAGCAGUGUCCCAAUAUCCCUAGCUAGGUAAACAUGUGAGCAGUGUCCCAGUAUCCCUAGCUAGGUAAGCAUGUGAGUAGUGUCCCAGUAUCCCUAGCUAGGUAAACAUGUGAACAGUGUCCCAGUAUCCCUAGCUAGGUAAACACGUGAACAGUGUCCCAGUAUCCCUAGCUAGCAUCGAAUUAAGCAGUUGUAAAAUUGGAGAUUUUUCGAGAAAAAGAAGCUUUUUCAGUCCAAUACAGCUCAAAAGCAACUCUUGCUUUAAUCAAUUUCAAGAGACAAUAGUAAACAAAUUUUGUUGGGAAAAAAUAUUUCUGGCAUUUUAUUUUUUUUCCUCAAUGUAAUACAAUUUAGUUUUUGAAAUAAUUUGAUUUCGUUAAGUUUAAAAAAUUUAAAUGGACACCAAAGAUUGAGCAACGUUCUCACUUAUCCUUUUUGUUUGUUUUUGUUUUGUUUAAUUACCGUACACUGUGCACAUGAGCAAUGUCAGGUUUGGCUCGGUCAUAGAUUAAUUAACAAUAAUAGAUAAGCCAGGACACUAGAUGUUGUCUUUUCAAGAUUUUAAGCAAAAACCCAAAGGAAUUCCGCGCAGGCAGCUUUGAAUUACAAGGCGGAGAGAGGGAAUGAGAUGCCUGCGCAGAUCUCUUUUGGGCUUCUGUCUCAGGGUUAUUGUAAACCAAAACCCCUAAAUCUGUUAUUGUUAAUUAAUCUAUGGGCUCGGCAUUUAGAAAUGAAAUCAGAUAAAAAUAUAUCAGUCAAUUGACUUGGGGCUCUCAUGUUUUGUAACAACAUGUUUAAUGACUGUAAGAAAAGUAACUACAUUUAAAGGUUACAAUAAUGUCGCAAACAAAAACACAGAAUAGACAUAAUAAAGCCAUGAAUCUAUAUAUAUAUGAUUAACUUUAGAUUGCAAAAAAGAACUAGAUAUCUAAAAAAAAUUUUACCCAAAAAGGCCUCCACAGAUUUUUUGUUUUUGUUUUUGGUGUUGUGUCUUAAAACAAAAUUCUGAAAUAGCUCUUAAGUACACAGCGGCGUACAAUAUUGACAAUUUUCAAAAGUUAUUAUGUUCCGUUAUUCACUGCAGUAUUAGAGGAUUUAAAAUUUAGUUAAAGUGAGAGUUGGCGAAAAAAGAAGUGUCCUUUGUUAAUGAUCUGUUCUGGAUCCCGAAUAUUAUUAAAAAUAUUUAUAAAUUUAUAUUUAUUUAAUUAUACCCACAAUUUCUCUUUUCGCGAACACUCCAUUAAUGUAUGUGCAAUAUUUAAAUAAUUUUAUUAUAUUUCCAAAGAAAAAAAAAGAAAAAGUAAAUAAUAUCCGUAAACCUAAAAUCGCUUUGAAACAAUCUAUAUUCUAUGUGUUGGCACUUUGUACCAUUUUCCUACUUCACAUUAGCUCCAUUUUAGCUGUAUUCUUAAACAUACCAGCUCAUUAUAGCUACAUGCUUAAUCUCAUUGGCUCCAUUAUAGCCGAAAACUUAAGCACACCAGCUAAAUUUUACAUCCAUACUUAAACAUAUCAGCUUCAUUAUAGUUCCUAUACUUAAACACAUCAGCUCUAUUAUAGCUGAAUACUUGAACACACCAGCUCAAUUAUAGAUUCAUACUUAAAAACAGCAGCUCCAUUAUACC